rnacentral:rRNA from 1 species
UACGUAGGGGGCAAGCGUUGUCCGGAUUUAUUGGGCGUAAAGAGCGUGUAGGCGGCCAGACAGGUCCGCUGUGAAAACUCGAGGCUCAACCUCGAGACGUCGGUUGAAACCGUCUGGCUAGAGUCCGGAAGAGGAGAGUGGAAUUCCCGGUGUAGCGGUGAAAUGCGCAGAUAUCGGGAGGAACACCAAUGGCGAAGGCAGCUCGCUGGGACGGUAUUGACGCUGAGACGCGAAAGCGUGGGGAGCAAACAGG